CUCAGGGUUGUAAACUGCUUUUGUAUGGGAAUAAAAAAGUCCUUGCGAGGACUCUUGAAGGUACCAUAAGAAUAAGCACCGGCUAACUCCGUGCCAGCAGCCGCGGUAAUACGGAGGGUGCAAGCGUUAUCCGGAUUUACUGGGUUUAAAGAGUGCGUAGGCGGCUUCUUAAGUCAAUGGUGAAAGCUUAGCGCUUAACGCUAGAAGUGCCACUGAUACUGGGAAGCUUGAGUCAAGAAGAGGUAAGCAGAAUUCAUAGUGUAGCAGUGAAAUGCUUAGAUACUAUGAGGAAUACCAACAGCGAAGGCAGCUUACUGGUCUUGUACUGACGCUGAGGCACGAAAGCGUGGGUAGCGAACAGGAUUAGAUACCCUGGUAGUCCACGCCGUAAACGAUGAUCACUCGAUGUACACGCUAGUCGUGUGUGUCUAAGCAAAAGCAUUAAGUGAU
rnacentral:rRNA from 1 species